rnacentral:rRNA from 1 species
CCGAUGGUACUGCUAACGCGGGAGAGUAGGCCGCCGCCAGUU